rnacentral:lncRNA from 10 species
GGGUUAGGCAUGUCUGAGCUCAGACUCUCCUUGGGUGGGGCUUGCCGUGGCUGCUGUGGGGGAUGGGAUGUUGUUUCCAGUCCAGUUGAAUUAUGUUCCUGGGAAAUUAUGGCUACCUCUGCUGUGUCACAUAGGUUGCCAAGGAAGUGGGAGAAAGCCAGCAGCCACAAGCCUCACCCAGCUCCCAUGGAGCCUGCAGCCUGCAGCUUGAAAGGCCAGCCUCAUUCCCACUGUGCCCCCACAACAGCACCGAAGCACCGAGUUUAUUUCCAGGCAGGCAGUGAGCAGGGCUGAGAAAUUGCCCCAGGCUACAAGCCUCCCAGCUGAGAAAGCAAGCAGACUCACAGUUCCUUGGCUGUCCCAUGCAGCCUGCAGCAGCAAUCCACCCCCUUUAAAGUGUCUGUGGAUUCUUUCAGCUUUUUUGGUUCAAGCAAUUCUCCUGUCUCAGCCUCCCGAGUAGCUGGGAUUACAGUCAUGUGCCCCUGUGUCCAGAAUUGGUUCCUUCUGGUGGGUUCUUGGUCUUGCUGUCUUCAAGAAUGAAGCCGUGGACCCUCGUCAUGAAUGUUACAGUUCUUAAAGAUGAAGAGAACAGCAUCAGGGCACAUUGAGGCUCAGAAAUUUAUAUUCCAAGAAGAGGUGCACAGGAACAGAGCAGAUCCAAAGCAGACAACCACCUGGAAGCAGUCAUAACAACAGCAAUAGCAAAUCAAUGCUGACUCCAACACUAAGCAUUCACCUGGAGAUAACCUACAGAGAUACUCUGUGUUACCCACAACUAGUCUGUUGACUAAGUUGGUGAAUAUAUUUGGGAAAAGCCCAUGUGGAAGAAUGGAAGCCUGCAUUAUCUUUCUCAGAGACAGACAGGAAGGUGACUCUAUGGAAGACAUCAGCGAUAAACUAGGAAGGAGUGACACGGUGUCAACAAUUUUGGCAUUGCAGAAGACCAUGGAGACAACUUUUUUAUUUCUCCAUCACACAAGGACUGAAGAUACAAAAAUGAGUUUUUCUUUCCUAUGGCCUUGGACUAGCUAUAUACGAUAGUAAUUAGCAAGCAGGCUCUGAAUUACACGAGCCCCUCCCACUGACUCUUGUACUUUUUAGCUAUAAGAACCUAAGCACGAACUUCGCAGAGCUCCAGUGCUUCUGUUUUGAAAAGAGAUAAUAUUUCCUAUGGGAUAGGGUUGUCUGGGGGUACUAAAUGAGAACUACAUACAAAGUACUUAAUGGAAGGUAUGUAGGACUCAAUAGAGGUAGCUAUUAAAUUGUAUGUAAGUAACAAAUCCUGAUAAUGUUCAAUUCUGAAUAAAACUUAGCAAGGUAGUUUUAUUGUCUUUAUUAUUUUUUAUUGAUUAGAAAACUGAUCCUAAAAUAAGUUAAUUAAUUUUGCCAUAGAAAUACCCAUUUAUUGUACAAAUUGGUGAUUUUCGAACCCAGAUCUAUUUUCCACUGUCUUGCAGCAAUGCUGUGCAGAGCUGGGCCUGCCUCAUGCCCUUGGCAUAGCUGUGAGUUACUGUGUAAGCUGUGUUCACCUGCUAAAGAGUUCAUCUUCCAGAAAAAUCAGAGAGAUAUUACGGGCAAAAGCCCAGAAUUCCUUAAGAGUAUAGGAAGAUGCACAAUGAACACUCCCACCCACUAAGAAGGAAGAACAAUUAAAGGCUGAACUAUGGUGAUGCCAUAUUUUUACAUCCGAAGGCACUGCACCACAGGCCCACAAUGAACAUUUAGCUCUCUUAAGUCUCCACAUUCUUUAUUCUGUUUUUGGAAAAGCUUCCUGUUUCUAAUUUGACAAGCCAUCUGCCUUGUUAGCUUUGCUUCCUUUAUCAUUUUUUUUUUACCUUUGAAAAUAAACUCUAGAAGCAGCCCCACGUAAGGCAAAGAAAAAUAAUGAAGAAAAACAUGUGCCAAGGGCUUCACUGACACAACGUUCAUCCCUAGUGUUUUUAAUUUGUCGAUUUGUUUUGCUUGAUUGGAGGUCCACUGAAUAGGAACAUAAUUUCUAUGCUACUGCCUGUAUGCCAAUACAAUCAUUCACUAUUUCUUAAUAUAAAAUUGCAAGAUGGCUUACUUUUAGAAAUACAGCGGGAAAUGUAAUUAAGUAUUGAAAACAGUUUCUCUUUUCCAGUCAAAAGUGUCUGAAUAACUUCUACUUAUAUACUACUCUGUAAUUGCCAAAGCACUUUUAUAUGUAUCGUUAGAUUUAAUCCUCCUAUUUACCUUCUCUGGGAUUAAAUUAGCUUGUAGUUGAGGAUGGGGUGGGGUAGAUUUUGUGAAAGUUCUACAGAUUCUGCUGUGUGUUCUCUUCUUCUUGUUUAAAUAUUGGAAUUUUAGGAAUCUGCACAGGUCUCUUAAUUUAUCACAUAGGCCUCAGGUAAAAAAACUGGUUUAGGCACAGGGUAAAAACAGACUUAACCUGUCCCUUCCAGGUAAACAUUUGUAUUUUAAGUGCAUUUAAUUAUCUCUGAAAUUCCACAUUUGACCUUUUCACCUUCCCCAAAAACUUCUUGGGAAAGAAACCAUUGGUUUGUACUCCUUGAGAAGCCUCAUACAAGUUGCUUAAUAUUUAAAGGUUAAAAAAUAAUUACUUGGGCUCAAAAUUAACAGGUUUUUGCUUGUAUUCCCUGUGAUGUAUGAGCAGAUUACUUUAUUAGAAAAUCAUUAGAGCAUAAUUUGCUUCUACUUGUUGCUGACAUCAAUUUUUAUUUCUUGUAAUUAAAAUACAGGUUCUUAUAAUAUGUCAUUAUUGUAAAUAGCAUGCUGCCAGAUAUUGAUGUGAAAUUGUCAUUAACCCUAACACCUAUGCCUUUUUUUAAAAGUGUGUGAGUUUACCAAGGUUAUGCCACAUUUAGACCCCUUCACCCUACUUAUACACAAAGUGCUCUUUCUACAGACAGCCUGGGAUGGGUCUCACAAUGAAUUUCCAUAAAUAUUUCCUUUUGUGUUGUCUUGCUUUUAUUCUCAAAAGCCAUGAAAACCCAACUGAAUUUGUCUGGAUCAUUGUGAAUGAGUUUCUUACUGAUGUAGGAA